rnacentral:rRNA from 1 species
UACGUAGGGGGCGAGCGUUGUCCGGAAUCAUUGGGCGUAAAGAGCUCGUAGGCGGUUUGUCGCGUCGAAUGUGAAAACCCGGGGCUCAACCCCGGGCCUGCAUUCGAUACGGGCAGACUAGAGUUCGGUAGGGGAGUCUGGAAUUCCCGGUGUAGCGGUGAAAUGCGCAGAUAUCAGGAGGAACACCGAUGGCGAAGGCAGGUCUCUGGGCCACUACUGACGCUGAGAAGCGAAAGCAUGGGGGAGCGAACGGG